rnacentral:rRNA from 1 species
GACGAACCGUGCGAACGUUAUUCGGAAUCACUGGGCUUAAAGCGCGUGUAGGCGGGACGGCACGUCGGUCGCUGAAAGCCCCCGGCUCAACCGGGGAACGGGCGCCGAUACGACCGCCCUGGAGGGACGUAGGGGGACCUGGAACUUCCGGUGGAGCGGUGAAAUGCGCAGAUAUCAGGAGGAACACCGGUGGCGAAGGCGGGUCUCUGGGCCGUAACUGACGCUGGAGGAGCGAAAGCAUGGGGAGCGAACAGG